GGAUUUUGACUUCUCAAAAGCAAAUUAUUAACCUCUGGUACAUCAGAACUAAAUUCAUAAAGAGAAAACAGAGAGAUAUCAAAAACGAACAACACCGAAAGUAAUUCACAGAGAAAAGCCUAAAAAACAAGACAGAAUUGAAAGGAAGGAACAUCUGAAAGUGACACACAAAGACAAAUUGGAAAGACAAGAAAGAACUGAAAAAAGGGAGAGGCAUACAG